AAUGAACGCUGGCGGCGCGCCUAAUACAUGCAAGUCGAGCGAGAAGACGUAGCAAUACGUUUGUAAAGCGGCGAACGGGUGAGGAAUACAUGGGUAACCUACCCUCGAGUGGGGAAUAACUAGCCGAAAGGUUAGCUAAUACCGCGUACGCUCCUUGGACUUCGGUUCAGGGAGGAAAGCGAUACCGUGGGUAUCGCGCUCUUGGUUGGGCUCAUGUCCUAUCAGCUUGUUGGUGAGGAACGGCUCACCAAGGCUUCGACGGGUAGCUGGUCUGAGAGGACGAUCAGCCACACUGGCACUGCGACACGGGCCAGACUCCUACGGGAGGCAGCAGUGGGGAAUAUUGGACAAUGGGCGAAAGCCUGAUCCAGCAACGCCGCGUGAGUGAUGAAGGCC
rnacentral:rRNA from 1 species